rnacentral:rRNA from 2 species
CUCUGGUAUUGAUUGGUGCUUGCAUCAUGAUUUACAUUUGAGUGAGUGGCGAACUGGUGAGUAACACGUGGGAAACCUGCCCAGAAGCGGGGGAUAACACCUGGAAACAGAUGCUAAUACCGCAUAACAACUUGGACCGCAUGGUCCGAGUUUGAAAGAUGGCUUCGGCUAUCACUUUUGGAUGGUCCCGCGGCGUAUUAGCUAGAUGGUGGGGUAACGGCUCACCAUGGCAAUGAUACGUAGCCGACCUGAGAGGGUAAUCGGCCACAUUGGGACUGAGACACGGCCCAAACUCCUACGGGAGGCAGCAGUAGGGAAUCUUCCACAAUGGACGAAAGUCUGAUGGAGCAACGCCGCGUGAGUGAAGAAGGGUUUCGGCUCGUAAAACUCUGUUGUUAAAGAAGAACAUAUCUGAGAGUAACUGUUCAGGUAUUGACGGUAUUUAACCAGAAAGCCACGGCUAACUACGUGCCAGCAGCCGCGGUAAUACGUAGGUGGCAAGCGUUGUCCGGAUUUAUUGGGCGUAAAGCGAGCGCAGGCGGUUUUUUAAGUCUGAUGUGAAAGCCUUCGGCUCAACCGAAGAAGUGCAUCGGAAACUGGGAAACUUGAGUGCAGAAGAGGACAGUGGAACUCCAUGUGUAGCGGUGAAAUGCGUAGAUAUAUGGAAG